rnacentral:pre_miRNA from 1 species
UCAACGCUAUGCGAUUUUCGUUUUGGUCUCCAAAUUAUUUCAUUUCACGUAUAAAUUCAACGUAAAUUAAAAUAAUUUGGAGACCAAAGCGAAAAUCGCAUAGCGUUGAGUU